rnacentral:pre_miRNA from 1 species
GUAUAAAACAGAGAGGACGAAACACAGACGAGUACAUUCUUUCAAAAAGAAUGUACUCGUCUGUGUUUCGUCCUUUCUAUGUUUUAU